rnacentral:rRNA from 1 species
UACAGAGGUCUCAAGCGUUGUUCGGAUUCAUUGGGCGUAAAGGGUGCGUAGGCGGCGCGGUAAGUCGGGUGUGAAAUCUCGGGACUUAACUCCGAAACUGCAUUCGAUACUGCCGUGCUUGAGGACUGGAGAGGAGACUGGAAUUUACGGUGUAGCGGUGAAAUGCGUAGAUAUCGUAAGGAAGGCCAGUGGCGAAGGCGGGUCUCUGGACAGUUCCUGACGCUGAGGCACGAAGGUCAGGGGAGCAAACGGG